rnacentral:rRNA from 1 species
UACGAAGGACCCAAGCGUUAUCCGGAUUUAUUGGGUUUAAAGGGUGCGUAGGCGGCCCUGUAAGUCAGUGGUGAAAGCCUCCAGCUCAACUGGAGAACUGCCAUUGAUACUGCAGGGCUUGAGUACAGACGAGGUUGGCGGAAUUGAUAGUGUAGCGGUGAAAUGCAUAGAUACUAUCAAGAACUCCGAUUGCGUAGGCAGCUAACUAGGCUGUAACUGACGCUGAGGCACGAAAGCGUGGGGAGCGAACAGG